rnacentral:tRNA from 1 species
GCAUUGGUGGUUCAGUGGUAGAAUUCUCGCCUGCCACGCUGGAGACCAGGUUUCGAUUCCCAGCCAAUGCA